rnacentral:rRNA from 1 species
AACGAACGCUGGCGGCGCGCCUAAUACAUGCAAGUCGAGCGAGAAAGUGUAGCAAUACACUUGUAAAGCGGCGAACGGGUGAGGAAUACAUGGGUAAUCUACCAUCGAGUGGGGAAUAACCAGCCGAAAGGUUGGCUAAUACCGCGUACGCUUCCGAGUCUUCGGGCUUGGAAGGAAAGCCGCACUGUGAGUGCGGCGCUCUUUGAUGAGCUCAUGUCCUAUCAGCUUGUUGGUAGGGUAACGGCCUACCAAGGCUUUGACGGGUAGGCUGGUCUGAGAGGACGAUCAGCCACACUGGCACUGCGACACGGGCCGAGACUCCUACGGGAGGCAGCAGUAAGGAAUAUUGCGCAAUAGGGCGGAAAGACCUGACGCAGCGACGCCG